rnacentral:rRNA from 1 species
AUUGAACGCUGGCGGCAUGCUUUACACAUGCAAGUCGAACGGUAACAGGCCUUCGGGUGCUGACGAGUGGCGAACGGGUGAGUAAUGCAUCGGAACGUACCCAGAGGUGGGGGAUAACGCAGCGAAAGCUGUGCUAAUACCGCAUGUGAUCUGAGGAUGAAAGCGGGGGACCGAGCAGCAAUGUUUGGCCUCGCGCCUUUGGAGCGGCCGAUGUCGGAUUAGCUAGUUGGUGGGGUAAAGGCCUACCAAGGCGACGAUCCGUAGCUGGUCUGAGAGGACGACCAGCCACACUGGGACUGAGACACGGCCCAGACUCCUACGGGAGGCAGCAGUGGGGGAUUUUGGACAAUGGGCGCAAGCCUGAUCCAGCAAUGCCGCGUGCGGGAAGAAGGCCUUCGGGUUGUAAAACGCUUUUGGCAGGAACGAAACGGUGUCCGCUAAUACCGGGCGCUAAUGACGGUACCUGCAGAAUAAGCACCGGCUAACUACGUG